AUGGGGUUUUCAAAAAAUACAGAUCAUAAAUGCCAUGAUGAACUGGUAGAAUUAGGACAUGAAAUUGUCAGCAAGUGUAAAGGCAUACCUCCUGCAAUUGUAGUUGUUGGUAGGCUCCUCUUGAUGCGUCGCCAAGCAGAAAAGACACCAAAAAACAUCAACAACGUGGACAUUAAUGGCCUUCAACAUGAAUUGACAACCUUCCUACAGGACAAGAAAUAUUUGAUCAUAUUGGAUGAUGUUUGGUCUUCGGAAGCUCUCGACGACCUACUGGGAGCACUCGCUCAUAAUCAGAAGAGGAGUAGAGUACUUGUGACAACACUCGUUGAUGGCGUAGCUCACCAUGCUCUCCAAGACCAGAGGUUAACAAUUGAAGCCCUACCAAAAGAUGACUCAUGGAAGCUGUUCUGUAAGAUGGGGUUUUCAAAAAAUACAGAUCAUAAAUGCCCUGAUGAAUUGGUAGAAUUAGGAUAUGAAAUUGUUAGCAAGUGUAAAGGCAUACCUCCUGCAAUUGAGUUGCUGGGCUGGCUUGACUGCUGCGUGUGCUUCUCUUCAAUUAAUUGCAUCUCUGAUGAUGAAACUUAUGAGCAGCUGCGACAGAGUUUGACAUGUUUUAUUGAAUUAUUGAAGUUUUUUCUGACUCCUAGAGCCACCAUUGUUAUUUUUCCGCCAAGGUUAUUUUUGACAAUGCUUGCAGGGUGCAGAGGAAAUGUUGGCACAGGCCUGGCCUCGACGCUGCGACCUGCCGUGUACUUUCCGGCAAGACGCACGUACAAUACUAGAGUACUUUCCGAGCUUUCCGAGCUAACCAGUUGGAGACGCAGACGGUGUCUCGUGCCCGUAUUCACCAAGCAACCAAGCAGCCUAGCUGCUGGAUUGAUUCCUAUUGAGGCUAGCUUAUGCACGUACGAACUACGAAACGGUCAGCCGCUGGCACCUUCAAGCGACACUGCAAGUCGACGGAAUACGGACGUGAGAACACACACGAGUUGA
rnacentral:rRNA from 1 species